GCAGCCCAGAAUCAGUGCCCUGCCAGGCAGAAUUGCUUGGCCAUAACAAAGAUCCAUUGCCUUUCUGAUGACACCCAGCACCUCGGAUUCUGUAUACACGGGAGGUGAUUUAAGCAUCUUACUGCCACCCUGAAAUCUGGGGUCCUUUAUCCUGGCAGCAUCUAGACCCGUAACGCCCACUUCAGAAUGGGAGGGAGGAUGUCUGCUGCCCUGUCGUCUCCACACCCGAGGAAUGUCCGUGUGUGUGUGUGUGUGGUGUGCACAGCGGGCUGCACACAGCGGGCUCCACGGUGCUCGAAUGGAGGCCCUAAUGUGAAUGGAGACUAGCCUGCUGGUAGAGACCUUGGCAGUGACCGCUGUGGGCAAUGAGCCAUGGGCCAACAAUAUUCAAUGCUGUGUACCUGAUGGAUGGUUACUGUCUGAGACUGAGGCUUUUUGGGCCAGGAGUAAAAGGACUUGGUUUGUACUUGAUUGCGUCCUGUGGAUGCUUGCCUACCAACUGACUCAUCCUGACGUGCCAAAGGUCCUGGCUUUCCCCUGUGUGGGUAAGGGAAGAAGAGAGUUCUUUGUUCCUAGUUCACUUCAACCCCACGAUCCUAAGCACACCUGUACCUGCCCUGGAAUCCCUCAGCCAUGUUUGUCCCACAGAGCAUCACUAUCAAACAGUUCACUGUGGACUCCUCGUAGCAGAAGUACAGUAGGGGACAGCAAGUGUCAGCUCCAUCAGGACCCCUGAUUUAAUUAUUUACUGUGGAACCAUUGUCCUGAGUCAGGAGGAUAGAUGAGGAAAGAAUGAGAGCGUGGCUGGCAUCGCUUCAUGAUUACAUUCUGGGAAAGAUCUUGCCUGUUAACCUCUAGAGAAGGAGGGACGAUACAGACAAUGAAGACUAUAGCAGACUGAAUUACUCUCUGAGAUGAGGACUUUGCUAUUGCCAUUGCAGAACCACUGGUGGAAGUUGUUGUUAAACAGUGGGUCUUGCAUGCAAGCUCUACAGUUAUGCACAGUAUUUCCAUGACAUCCCAAGCCAUGAGGUUCAUGCUGCCAUAUCCCCCUGUUUAACAAGUGUGGAAACUGAUAAUGGACUCACAAUUGCUGAUGUAUAGGUUCUAAUGUUUUCUAUUGUGGACACGGGACACCCAGACUGAGAACCAAUGGCUCCAGUCUGAUUUAAACAUGGGUCCGUGCUCACACACUCAAUACCUACCCUCUGUGCUCACAAGUCCUGUGUGAGUAAGACUCCAAAUUAUUCUGUCUUGUUUUACUCAAUGGUAUGCUCUACCUUAUUAUAGAGUAUACCAUGUAUUGAGACAAGAAUGCCAGUCAUUCUGAGAAACAAAAUGCAACCAUUAGUUGUCAUUUUAAUUAGUGACGAAUAGUUGUGUCAAUCAUCAAACAUGCUUGUAUAAUUGGAUGAGAAGAGGUGUAACACGGGCCAAUGAUGACGAGGUUUCGGGAUUAUAAGUCACGGACGAUGACUACGUCACUAGAGGUCUGAGGUCCAUAGCAGAAGAUGCCUCAUGUGACCCUCUCAUGCAGGGGUUGCAUGUCAGGCAUGUGCAUACAGUAGAUAUUAGCCAUGCACUCUCACCAUUUCAUAGUAGAUCACA
rnacentral:lncRNA from 1 species